GGCUAAGUCCGUUCGGCG
rnacentral:sRNA from 1 species